rnacentral:rRNA from 1 species
ACGCUCGACACCUACGAGAGGCAGCAGUGAGGAAUAUUGGUCAAUGGGCGCUAGCCUGAACCAGCCAAGUAGCGUGAAGGAUGAAGGCUCUAUGGGUCGUAAACUUCUUUUAUAUAAGAAUAAAGUGCAGUAUGUAUACUGUUUUGUAUGUAUUAUAUGAAUAAGGAUCGGCUAACUCCGUGCCANCAGCCGCGGUAAUCUGAGCGGGCUGGCAAGGC